AGGGGGUCUCCUUUUUUGGGU
rnacentral:misc_RNA from 1 species